rnacentral:rRNA from 1 species
CACGUAGGGUGCGAGCGUUGUCCGGAAUUAUUGGGCGUAAAGAGCUCGUAGGCGGUGUGUCACGUCGGCCGUGAAAACCUGCAGCUUAACUGUGGGCGUGCGGUCGAUACGGGCAUCACUGGAGUUCGGCAGGGGAGACUGGAAUUCCUGGUGUAGCGGUGAAAUGCGCAGAUAUCGGGAGGAACACCGGUGGCGAAGGCGGUUCUCUGGGCCUGACCUGACGCUGAGGAGCGAAAGCGUGGGGAGCGAACAGG